rnacentral:rRNA from 1 species
AGUGAACGCUGGCGGUAGGCCUAACACAUGCGAGUCGAACGGCAGCACAGUAAGAGCUUGCUCUUACGGGUGGCGAGUGGCGGACGGGUGAGGAAUACAUCGGAAUCUACUUUUUCGUGGGGGAUAACGUAGGGAAACUUACGCUAAUACCGCAUACGACCUACGGGUGAAAGCAGGGGAUCUUCGGACCUUGCGCGAUUGAAUGAGCCGAUGUCGGAUUAGCUAGUUGGCGGGGUAAAGGCCCACCAAGGCGACGAUCCGUAGCUGGUCUGAGAGGAUGAUCAGCAACACUGGAACUGAGACACGGUCCAGACUCCUACGGGAGGCAGCAGUGGGGAAUAUUGGACAAUGGGCGCAAGCCUGAUCCAGCUAUACCGCGUGGGUGAAGAAGGCCUUCGGGUUGUAAAGCCCUUUUGUUGGGAAAGAAAAGCAGCAGGUUAAUACCCCGCUGUUCUGACGGUACCCAAAGAAUAAGCACCGGCUAACUUCGUG